rnacentral:rRNA from 1 species
UACGUAGGGGGCAAGCGUUGUCCGGAAUCAUUGGGCGUAAAGCGCGUGUAGGCGGACUGGAAGGUCUGGUGUGAAAGCCCGGGGCUCAACCCCGGAGGGUCACUGGAAACCGACAGUCUUGAGUCCGGAAGAGGAGAGUGGAAUUCCUGGUGUAGCGGUGGAAUGCGCAGAUAUCAGGAGGAACACCAAUGGCGAAGGCAGCUCACUGGGACGAUACUGACGCUGGAGACGCGAAAGCGUGGGGAGCAAACAGG